rnacentral:rRNA from 1 species
GGCAAGGCGCGGGCUUACACAUGCAGUCGAGCGGAAGGCCACUUCGGUGGUACUCGAGCGGCGAACGGGUGAGUAACACGUGAGUAAUCUGCCCCUGGCUUUGGGAUAGCCACCGGAAACGGUGAUUAAUACCGGAUAUGACCACUUCGCGCAUGUGAUGGUGGUGGAAAGUUUUUCGGCCAGGGAUGUGCUCGCGGCCUAUCAGCUUGAUGGUGAGGUAAUGGCUCACCAUGGCUUCGACGGGUAGCCGGCCUGAGAGGGUGACCGGCCACACUGGGACUGAGACACGGCCCAGACUCCUACGGGAGGCAGCAGUGGGGAAUAUUGGACAAUGGGCGGAAGCCUGAUCCAGCAACGCCGCGUGAGGGAUGACGGCCUUCGGGUUGUAAACCUCUUUCGCCUGUGACGAAGCGCAAGUGACGGUAACAGGUAAAGAAGCACCGGCCAACUACGUGCCAGCAGCCGCGGUAAUACGUAGGGUGCGAGCGUUGUCCGGAAUUAUUGGGCGUAAAGGGCUCGUAGGCGGUUUGUCGCGUCGGGAGUGAAAACCAGGUGCUUAACACCUGGCUUGCUUUCGAUACGGGCAGACUAGAGGUAUUCAGGGGAGAACGGAAUUCCUGGUGUAGCGGUGAAAUGCGCAGAUAUCAGGAGGAACACCGGUGGCGAAGGCGGUUCUCUGGGAAUGACCUGACGCUGAGGAGCGAAAGUGUGGGGAGCGAACAGGAUUAGAUACCCUGGUAGUCCACACCGUAAACGUUGGGCGCUAGGUGUGGGGUCCAUUCCACGGAUUCCGUGCCGCAGCUAACGCAUUAAGCGCCCCGCCUGGGGAGUACGGCCGCAAGGCUAAAACUCAAAGGAAUUGACGGGGGCCCGCACAAGCGGCGGAGCAUGCGGAUUAAUUCGAUGCAACGCGAAGAACCUUACCUGGGUUUGACAUACACCCUGCCGCUCCAGAGAUGGGGCUUCUUUUGGGGGUGUACAGGUGGUGCAUGGCUGUCGGCAGCUCUUGUCGUGAGAUGUUGGGUUAAGUCCCGCAACGAGCGCAACCCUCGUUCUAUGUUGCCAGCACGUAAUGGUGGGGACUCAUAGGAAACUGCCUGGGUCAACUCUGAGGAAGGUGGAGACGAUGUGAGGUAGUCAUGCCCAUAUUGUUCUCGGUCUUACGUCAGGUUUCUCUGUCCGGCAUAAUAGGCUGUAGGUCCAGAGGCGUGGCUCUCACUCCAAUUGGCUAGUUUUAAUAUCAAAUUU